UAGGGAAUCUUCCACAAUGGACGAAAGUACUGAUGAGCAACGCCGCGUGAGUGAAGAAGGGUUUCGGCUCGUAAAACUCUGUUGUUAAAGAAGAACAUAUCUGAGAGUAACUGUUCAGGUAUUGACGGUAUUUAACCAGAAAGCCACGGCUAACUACGUGCCAG
rnacentral:rRNA from 1 species